AAGUAGCUAAAUCUCUCAGCGUUGUUGAGCGAUGUUCCAAACAACCCCUUUCCCCCCGGUGCUGAAAACACCCAAAAAGUGACACUGAUGUGAAAUAUAUUGUAAUAUUGUGGUUUUAGCUGCUGGAUAAUGUUACCUCUCCUGCUUGCUUACCGGU